AUUUAAGUAGUUUAAUUAGAAUUAUAAUUUGUGGUGUUAUAGGUAAAUAUAAAAGUAUUUCUUGAAUC
rnacentral:tRNA from 1 species